CCGUUCCCUAUAUAAGCCUGUGCAUUUCCUGAAAGCAGCAGAAGCAUUCCAGAAGCGUCGUACUUCCUUCUGGUCUUAGCUCCCCAACCUCUCUUUGUGAGCGGGCUCACAGACAACAGCUGGCACUCAAAUGUGGGACUCCCAUAUACUGGAUAAGUAUUGAAGCUGCAGGAUUUGCAAGAGUGGAGGUUCAUGACUGCCACUUCUUCGUGACUGUUCAUCAUCACAGAAGCAACAAAACGGAGAUACACAACAGAAUAUUCCUGUACACAUAGUGAAGAAUUCAUACCUGGAACCUGACUGUGAGGUGAAACAGGGCCAGGCUGUGCUGACAUUGAAGGCUCUGUCUCCAGGAAUAAUCUAGUUACUUCCCUCUAGACUGAGUGAUUUGUCUUCUGGAUUUUCUGCCACAGGUAUGCCUUCUUGUAUUUUGUCUAUUGUCACCAUGUAUUCUAAUUUUUCUUUGGGUGUUAUUGGCACAGUAGGCAUUGUGGUUUGCUUUAUAGUAGUUUCCCUAUCCUGGAGCUGAAAUAACAUAAAUUGUGAGUAAAGAUAAAUUGCUCUUGCACAAGGA
rnacentral:lncRNA from 1 species